rnacentral:rRNA from 1 species
AUGGCCACCGAGCCUGGAGCAGGAGCGUUUACUCGCUGUGCCUAUGGUAGUGGCGGCGACGAUGGCGCGUAUGGUAGUGGCGGCGACGAUGGCGCGUAUGGUAGUGGCGGCGGCCAGGACGUGCCCUCGGCGAUCUCGACAUCCAAGUCAAGGAUUGGCGGCGCAAGAACGAUGGCGCUGCAGGGGAUCGAACCAGAGGAAUGUGAUCCAUCCUGUCAAGAUCGGUUUCUGCGUGUGGGUCUGACGAAACACCAUCAAGAGAUAGCUGAAUGUUUCAACCAAAGGGGUGUGUCUUUAAUUUUCCUUUUAAGAAGAAAGAAAACUUCUGCAGCAAAAUACCAGGAAACUAAAUGGAACUCAUAA